rnacentral:rRNA from 1 species
AACGAACGCUGGCGGCAUGCCUAACACAUGCAAGUCGAACGAUGCCGUCGAGUUUAUGUGCGGAGGGGUGCUUGCCGCGGGGUAAGCUACCCUUAGGUUCGGUAUAACUCCCCGAGAGGUGUCCUAAUGCCGGGUGAUGUCUUCCUGGCAAUUGUUUUUCGGUCUUGUGUGGGCCCGGGUUGGAGUAGCUAGUGGGGAGGGUUAGAGCCUAGCAAGGCGACGAUGCAUAGCUGGUCUGAGAGGAUGAGCGGCCACACCGGGACUGAGACACGGGCCAGAAUCCUAGGGGAGGCAGCAGUGGGGAAUAUUGGAAAAUGGGCGAACGCCUGAUCCAGCAAUGCCGCGUGAGUGAUGAAGGCCUUAGGGUUGUAAAGCUCUUUUAACCGGGAUGAUAAUGACAGUACCGGGAGAAUAAGCGCCGGCUAACUCCGUG